AUUGAACGCUGGCGGCAGGCCUAACACAUGCAAGUCGAGCGGAUGAAGGGAGCUUGCUCCUGGAUUCAGCGGCGGACGGGUGAGUAAUGCCUAGGAAUCUGCCUGGUAGUGGGGGAUAACGUCCGGAAACGGGCGCUAAUACCGCAUACGUCCUGAGGGAGAAAGUGGGGGAUCUUCGGACCUCACGCUAUCAGAUGAGCCUAGGUCGGAUUAGCUAGUUGGUGGGGUAAAGGCCUACCAAGGCGACGAUCCGUAACUGGUCUGAGAGGAUGAUCAGUCACACUGGAACUGAGACACGGUCCAGACUCCUACGGGAGGCAGCAGUGGGGAAUAUUGGACAAUGGGCGAAAGCCUGAUCCAGCCAUGCCGCGUGUGUGAAGAGGGUCUUCGGAUUGUAAAGCACUUUAAGUUGGGAGGAAGGGCAGUAAGUUAAUACCUUGCUGUUUUCACGUUACCAACAGAAUAAGCACCGGCUAACUUCGUG
rnacentral:rRNA from 1 species